rnacentral:lncRNA from 1 species
UAAUGAGUGUAGUUCUUGCAUUGACCGUUAUGAGUCGGUCUUUAACACUAUUAUGCACUUCAAAAUUUUGCAUGAGAUUAAUAUCUUCUAGUGAUGACAUAAGUUUGUGUGAAAAUAUACAUGUACAUAAAUUUAAAACCAAACCAGCAAAGUGGAAAGCUAGAUGAGAAGAAUUAAGUGUGCUGGACACAGUGGUCAAUUUCAUACAGGGACGUUUCAAUCUUUGCAAGUUCUCUGCAAAAACCAAAAAAAUUAAAAUAUAUUCCUCAUGUAACAGUAUAAAAAAAUAAAUGGUUGGUGCCCUGGUUUGGCACCUCACCUUACAUUAAGGAAACACAAUAUUAAAGAGAACUAGAAAUUUUGAUUCCACCGUGGGAAUUUUAACCUUCAAGUUGUAGCCUUGUAGCCAGGGUAAAUGCACCAUCUUGGUUGCAAAUUGAACUACAUAUUCUCGAAGGAAAGUAGUUGUGAUGUCAGUUCAUCCUAUAUGUUGGCUAUAUCUUAUGCUACCAGUCUGGUUCUCUUAUCUUUAGUUACUAUUUUGAACAGGGG